UUUAUGGAGAGUUUGAUCCUGGCUCAGGAUGAACGCUGGCGGCGUGCCUAAUACAUGCAAGUCGAGCGAACGGACGAGAAGCUUGCUUCUCUGAUGUUAGCGGCGGACGGGUGAGUAACACGUGGAUAACCUACCUAUAAGACUGGGAUAACUUCGGGAAACCGGAGCUAAUACCGGAUAAUAUUUUGAACCGCAUGGUUCAAAAGUGAAAGACGGUCUUGCUGUCACUUAUAGAUGGAUCCGCGCUGCAUUAGCUAGUUGGUAAGGUAACGGCUUACCAAGGCAACGAUGCAUAGCCGACCUGAGAGGGUGAUCGGCCACACUGGAACUGAGACACGGUCCAGACUCCUACGGGAGGCAGCAGUAGGGAAUCUUCCGCAAUGGGCGAAAGCCUGACGGAGCAACGCCGCGUGAGUGAUGAAGGUCUUCGGAUCGUAAAACUCUGUUAUUAGGGAAGAACAUAUGUGUAAGUAACUGUGCACAUCUUGACGGUACCUAAUCAGAAAGCCACGGCUAACUACGUGCCAGCAGCCGCGGUAAUACGUAGGUGGCAAGCGUUAUCCGGAAUUAUUGGGCGUAAAGCGCGCGUAGGCGGUUUUUUAAGUCUGAUGUGAAAGCCCACGGCUCAACCGUGGAGGGUCAUUGGAAACUGGAAAACUUGAGUGCAGAAGAGGAAAGUGGAAUUCCAUGUGUAGCGGUGAAAUGCGCAGAGAUAUGGAGGAACACCAGUGGCGAAGGCGACUUUCUGGUCUGUAACUGACGCUGAUGUGCGAAAGCGUGGGGAUCAAACAGGAUUAGAUACCCUGGUAGUCCACGCCGUAAACGAUGAGUGCUAAGUGUUAGGGGGUUUCCGCCCCUUAGUGCUGCAGCUAACGCAUUAAGCACUCCGCCUGGGGAGUACGACCGCAAGGUUGAAACUCAAAGGAAUUGACGGGGACCCGCACAAGCGGUGGAGCAUGUGGUUUAAUUCGAAGCAACGCGAAGAACCUUACCAAAUCUUGACAUCCUUUGACAACUCUAGAGAUAGAGCCUUCCCCUUCGGGGGACAAAGUGACAGGUGGUGCAUGGUUGUCGUCAGCUCGUGUCGUGAGAUGUUGGGUUAAGUCCCGCAACGAGCGCAACCCUUAAGCUUAGUUGCCAUCAUUAAGUUGGGCACU
rnacentral:rRNA from 1 species